AAAGUGUCUCAAAACAUUUACCCUUUUAGAUGGUACAUUUUAAAGCACAGUAAACUGGGUAAAACAUGCUGUUCUGAGCUCCAACAGAAGGGGGCAACAUUAUCUCACAAGCUUUUUUGUUCACACCAAAUAAGCACCUGACGUCUAUAAGAAACAGCUGAAAGCACAGAACAUGUUUCAUAUUUCAUUAACCCACACACACAUUAUUCACACACAACAGAAGUUCACUCAGUCUCAGUGCUGUCAGUCAACCAUCAGCUACUCUCAUAUUUUCAUUCAUUUUAUAAAACCACAUUCAGCAGAAUUUGGAACCAAUAUAUUGUGGACAUCAGUUAAGAUGGAGGAGAGACAGAUGAUACUCAUAAUGAUCAUCACAGUUUCAGGUGGUUUUGCUGAUAGAAUUGGACCAAGAGAAGGAGACACUAAUAUAAUCAGAGAAGAAGGAGAGUCUGUGACACUGAGCUGCACAUAUGAAGCAAACAGCAAUGAUAUUUGGCUCUACUGGUACAGACAAUAUCCAA